rnacentral:rRNA from 1 species
AGGACGAACGCUGGCGGCGCGCUUAACACAUGCAAGUCGAACGUGAAGCCCGGGCUUGCCUGGGUGGAAAGUGGCGAACGGGUGCGUAACACGUGAGCAACCUGCCCCGAAGACCGGGAUAACAGCGGGAAACCGCUGCUAAUACCGGAUGCCCUCAUCAUGUCGCAUGGCGAGAUGAGGAAAUGGAUUCCGCUUCGGGAUGGGCUCGCGGUCUAUCAGCUUGUUGGUGAGGUAAUGGCUCACCAAGGCUACGACGGAUAGCUGGUCUGAGAGGAUGUCCAGCCACACUGGGACUGAGACACGGCCCAGACUCCUACGGGAGGCAGCAGUGGGGAAUCUUGCACAAUGGGCGAAAGCCUGAUGCAGCGACGCCGCGUGCGGGAUGACGGCCUUCGGGUUGUAAACCUCUUUCAGCAGGGAAGAAGCGAAAGUGACGGUACCUGCAGAAGAAGCACCGGCUAACUACGUGCCAGCAGCCGUA